rnacentral:rRNA from 1 species
AGUGAACGCUGGCGGCAGGCCUAACACAUGCAAGUCGAGCGGCAGCGCGGGGGCAACCCUGGCGGCGAGCGGCGGACGGGUGAGGAAUUCGUCGGAAUCUGCCUUUUUGUGGGGGAUAACGUAGGGAAACUUACGCUAAUACCGCAUACGUCCUACGGGAGAAAGUGGGGGACCGCAAGGCCUCACGCAGAAAGAUGAGCCGACGACCGAUUAGCUAGUUGGUGGGGUAAAGGCCCACCAAGGCGACGAUCGGUAGCUGGUCUGAGAGGAUGAUGAGCCACACUGGGACUGAGACACGGCCCAGACUCCUACGGGAGGCAGCAGUGGGGAAUAUUGGACAAUGGGCGCAAGCCUGAUCCAGCCAUGCCGCGUGUGUGAAGAAGGCCUUCGGGUUGUAAAGCACUUUUGUCCGGAAAGAAAUCCCUGGAGCUAAUACCUUCGGGGGAUGACGGUACCGGAAGAAUAAGCACCGGCUAACUUCGUG